rnacentral:lncRNA from 1 species
UGAAGAAGGAAGAUGGCGGACUGAACGAAGUUAUGUAGAGCACCUCAAGAUAAAAACAUAAUAUUCAAUAUCGCCUGCAAAAUGUUCUCUGCUCCUGAGACGAAAUGGGAAAAUCAAAUCGCUCAUCAAUUGCUGUUGAUUUGUUAAGGAUCAGAUGGUGACAGGGGUCUCAGCAGGGCCAGGCAGCCAGGGAAGACCAGUCUGUGACGGUGCCGUGGUGAACUUUUGCAGAUACAACAUGUUAUUUUCUCUGUGCAGCAAACACUGGACAAGCAAGAAGUUUCAAAGUUUGAAACUAUUUUAAGGCAUUCUGACAAACUUCUAAAGUUGAUUUACAAACUGUAUCAAUGGUUGAUAGAGGCUUUUUUCCAGAUGACACAAAACAUGUUAAAACAAAAAUGUGAGGAAGACCUGGGAGACGCUAUUAAUGGUGAUGAAUGGAUACAGAUAAUGUAUGUUAGAAUGGCCAGUCAUGUUCAUAUAAUCUCAGACAUACAUUACUGCAGUUUAACACCAUCCAUAGAACAUACUAUAUGCCAGUGAAACUGAAUAUCAUGCACUCAGAAAUGUAAUUCUUCUGCUGGAGGUUUAAAACACAAAGGGGGACAUAUUUGCAUAUGUUAUGGUCUUGUGAAGGCUGGCUGAAUUCUGGCAGAGUGUGUUCUUUUAUCUCAGCAUGUCUACAGAUUCUCUCUUCUCUCCAUUUUUGUUUGCUUGGAAAUGUUGAUACUGGAGACUGUUAUCAGAAGAAACUGUGUAACCUAGCAUCUAUAGCAGCUAAGAAAUGCAUUGCCACUAAGAUCCUAAAGCUGACUGGGGUAUGUCGGGUUGGGGCGUUACAGGGCCGUGGACCCCUAGGGGCAGGACAGGGUGACCCAGCUAUAUUGUGAGCAAGUAAAAAGAACUCAACAGUACUAUUAGGCCUAUGGUAUGAAUUAUAUGGAGGGUGUACUGUUUUUGUGUGUUAAUGUGUAGGUGUGUGUGUGUUUUUAUUAAACUUUUGUUUUCCAAACCUUUCCCUUGAGACAUAAAAAAAAGAGUAUGUUGUUUUCAGGAGAGCGUUGAGGUACUGACUAGACUAAUAUUUGUAAGAGUUGUUAAUUUGUUAGACUAUUGGUUAAAAGGUGC